rnacentral:rRNA from 1 species
AACGAAACUUCUUUAUCACCGAGUGCUUGCACUCACCGAUAAAGAGUUGAGUGGCGAACGGGUGAGUAACACGUGGGCAACCUGCCCAAAAGAGGGGGAUAACACUUGGAAACAGGUGCUAAUACCGCAUAACCAUAGUUACCGCAUGGUAACUAUGUAAAAGGUGGCUAUGCUACCGCUUUUGGAUGGGCCCGCGGCGCAUUAGCUAGUUGGUGGGGUAAAGGCUUACCAAGGCAAUGAUGCGUAGCCGAACUGAGAGGUUGAUCGGCCACAUUGGGACUGAGACACGGCCCAAACUCCUACGGGAGGCAGCAGUAGGGAAUCUUCCACAAUGGGCGAAAGCCUGAUGGAGCAACGCCGCGUGGGUGAAGAAGGUCUUCGGAUCGUAAAACCCUGUUGUUAGAGAAGAAAGUGCGUGAGAGUAACUGUUCACGUUUCGACGGUAUCUAACCAGAAAGCCACGGCUAACUACGUGCCAGCAGCCGCGGUAAUACGUAGGUGGCAAGCGUUAUCCGGAUUUAUUGGGCGUAAAGGGAACGCAGGCGGUCUUUUAAGUCUGAUGUGAAAGCCUUCGGCUUAACCGGAGUAGUGCAUUGGAAACUGGGAGACUUGAGUGCAGAAGAGGAGAGUGGAACUCCAUGUGUAGCGGUGAAAUGCGUAGAUAUAUGGAAGAACACCAGUGGCGAAAGCGGCUCU